rnacentral:lncRNA from 1 species
CCUGGAUAGAGAAAGCUAAGAGAAGGAUAUAUCACACCUGCAAAUCUUGUUGUUUGAUACUUAAAGGUAAAAUGUCUGGGAGAAUGUGCAAACUACGUCUAAAUAGAAAAUUCCAAACACAAAUGUACGAAAAGCCUAUCAGAUCAAGAACUAUUCAGAAACAAUUUUCCAAGGUAUACAUACAGCACACCAGAGUCCUUUUGAUGCAUGCUACCAAAUAGGACAGAGUCUAGGUAUCUGUUAUGGCCAUUGCUACCAAUAUUUCUUGCUUCAUAAGCUGUUGCUGUUGACUUCGAAUCCUCUCCUGUCUGGCCAGAUGGGCUCAUCUGUAUAGGUGGCCCUUUUGCUUAAACAGGAGUUAACCUUCUUUAGAGUGGCUCUUACUUGAUCUGUCAAAGUCACCCCUCUUUGUCUCCAGUCCAUCAGUCACUUUACGUUGUUUUUCCAUUACUUCACUUCCAAGGGAAUAAGGUUUGUCUGUAUUAUUGUGAACUGUAUUCAACAUUUUUUUUGCCCAUUCCUGCAACAUGUGGAAAUUCCUGGGCCAGGGGUUGAACCUAAGCCACAGCAUUGACAAUCCUUAACCACUGGGCCACAAGGGAACUCCAAAAAGUUGGGUUUUUUUUUUUUUUUUUUUUUUUUUUUUGUUUGUUUAAUAAUCAAAUAUCCCUAUACUAGUUGAGGUCCUAGUGAGACAGAAUACUAACUCAGGUAGUUAGUGUAGGAGCAUGGGCUCCGAGAUACAUUUCUUUGAUAUGGAUAUUGAUUAACAUUUGCGGCUUAAGGGCUCCAGGGAGUAACACCUCCACAGGACUUAUUUUAUUAUAGGCAAUGCAAAUUCCCCACAGACUUUGUUUACUGUAGGAAAUGCGAAUCUCUAGCCCACUCCUCAGCUGAUAGAAAAGGAAUGAGAGGAAUGGUGACUUAAUCUAAGAAAAGAAAAGGACAAAGAAAGCAUAAACUUAAACAAGGGACAUUUCCAACACUAAAGCCCCUAUUGGACAAGGACUGAUAUCAGUAGUUAAACAAGGCCAAUGGGAGAAACCACAUCUUUCUGGACCCCAUGUUGGUACCCCCCAUCUUUAAGGAAUAAAAACCCCUAAAAGGACAAUAGAGAAAGGGGGCUCUUCUCCCCCCCCAACCUGUCCUAGGCGCUUUGCUUUUCUUCAAUAAAGACUUUGCUUGCUUGCUGCCUGUGUGUUCCUGGAGUUCAUUCUUCGACCACUGUGAACAAGGACCCGGAUUCUGGUACCAUCUUUCCGGUAUCACUAGGAGAAGACAAAUUUACUCAUUAGAGGUAGGCGUACUUUUAAUACAGAAGAAUAAUUAGCGACCGCAUUGGGUGGUGCAUGUGGCUAUAAACUUACAAGGCUUUUCUUUUUUGAUAGAACGAACACAGAAAUAUAGCACAGGAAAAUUCUACUCAAUAUUCUGUGAUAAUCUAUAUGGGAAAAUAUUAUGAAAAAGAAUGGAUAUAUGUACUAUUGAAUCACUGUGUUGUACAGUAGAAAUCAUCACAACAUUGUAAACAAAUAUAUUUCAAUAAAACUUUGAAAAAUGGAAAAAAAAAACACUUGAACUUCAAAGAAGGUCCUGUUACAAAACCAUACCAAAGCUCUUCAGUUUUUUCCAAUGGUCAAUGUUCUUUCUCCCAUGCUUUCAUAUAUGUUGUUGCUAGCCCCCAAACAUUCAUGAUUUAACUAUUCCUCUAGAUUUCAGUUUAAAAACAAGUUCUGCAGGGUAUUUUGUUUGGAUGCUUAUGUUAUGUUGGGUAUCUUUGCUCUGUUUUCCUUUACUUCUCUGAAAUUCUCAUAUUGUAAGAUGUUACUUUUUUUUCUUUAUUUAAAGACUGUGUUUCUUGUUAGUGCUCAUGAUGACGUAAUUCUUUGCUCUAUUGCCAGGACCCUUCACAGCACCUGGUACGGAGCUGUGCCCCAGAAAUGUUCAAUGAAUG